rnacentral:rRNA from 1 species
GUAAGGAAUAUUGGACAAUGGACGCAAGUCUGAUCCAGCCAUGCCGCGUGAAGGAUUAAGGUCCUCUGGAUUGUAAACUUCUUUUAUAAGGGACGAAAAAAGGUUUUUCUAAGUCGUCUGACGGUACCUUAUGAAUAAGCACCGGCUAACUCCGUGCCAGCAGCCGCGGUAAUACGGAGGGUGCAAGCGUUAUCCGGAUUCACUGGGUUUAAAGGGUGCGUAGGCGGGCAGGUAAGUCAGUGGUGAAAUCCUAGAGCUUAACUCUAGAACUGCCAUUGAUACUAUCUGUCUUGAAUAUUGUGGAGGUAAGCGGAAUAUGUCAUGUAGCGGUGAAAUGCUUAGAUAUGACAUAGAACACCUAUUGCGAAGGCAGCUUACUACGCAUAUAUUGACGCUGAGGCACGAAAGCGUGGGGAUCAAACAGGAUUAGAAACCCCGGUAGUCC